rnacentral:lncRNA from 1 species
GGGAACUUUUCCCGGCUAUCAUAUCUCGAUCUUUCUCGAAACCAAUUCGUUGGACAAGUUCCACAUACUCUUGGAAGCCUGCACCUGCUCCAGGCGUUAGAUCUAUCUAGCAACAGGCUUUCAGGGAGCAUGCCUCGAGAACUCACAGAGAUACCUCAGCUGUCAUAUUUUAACGUGUCGUAUAACAAUCUGACUGGUGCCGUUCCGCAGGGAGCUCAGUUCAACACGUUCACCGAGGAUUCAUACAUAAGUAAUCCAGGACUUUGUGACUUCCCUCUGAGCCCUUGUGAUCCUAAAAACAACAGUUACAUCAACAGCACAGAAUUAAGAAAACCAGCAAAAGCGCCUCACCUGCAUACGGUCAUUAUUUUUCUUACUUCGAUCUCGUUAUGUUCAUUGGCGUUUAUGGCAUUGCUUAUAUAUUAUCCCUGCUCGCGGACAAAGGAAGAGUCAGAUGAGAUGAGCAUUAUCGAAGGAGAAAUUUGGAGUGCAACUCGAGGAUUCAACAAAGACAACAUCGUAGACAAGGGAGGAUGCAGCACGAUCUAUCGGGGUGUUUUGAGAGACGGGCAGACUGUCGCUGUGAAGGUUUACAAGCUUUCAGACCACACAGGCGAGGAGCAGUUUAUCGCUGAAUACAACAGCCUUAAAGACUUAAGACACAGGAACAUCGUGAGAAUCAUCGAGUGGUGUUCCGAGAGCAAGCUCAAGGCGCUAGUUUUCAAGUUCAUGGACAACGGCAGCCUAGAAAAGCAGCUUCACGAGCUUCAUGGGUCAAAUCUGCCAUGGACGGUACGCAUGAACGUCGUCCAGGGAGUUGCUAAUGCACUGAGCUACUUACACGAGGAGGCAGCAAGCACUGGACCCAUAAUUCACCGAGACAUCAAGCCAGCAAACAUCUUCCUGGACCAAAACAUGGAAGCACACCUUGGGGACUUUGGGAUAGCCAGGAAUUUACGACUGGAAAGCAGCAUGCAUUGGGAAAGCAAGCUCAAAGGCUCGAUCGGCUAUGUGGCACCAGGUACCUUAUCGUAUAGAGAGGAAAAAAAGGAAGCUGACGCUACUAAAAUAUGCAGAGUAUGGCUCGGAUGGAACAAUGACCACCGCCGCAGACGUCUACAGCUAUGGAAUCGUGAUUCUAGAGACGCUUACCAGGAUCCGACCGACGAGCGGCACGCUCAAAGAUAUUUCGCUGCGGAGCUGGGUGGAAUCACAC